rnacentral:rRNA from 1 species
UACGUAGGGACCAAGCGUUGUCCGGAAUCAUUGGGCGUAAAGAGCGUGUAGGCGGCUUGUUAAGUCUUGCGUGAAAUCUCGGGGCUCAACCCCGAGCGGUCGUGAGAAACUGGCAGGCUAGAGUGCGGGAGAGGAGAGUGGAAUUCCUGGUGUAGCGGUGAAAUGCGCAGAUAUCAGGAAGAACAUCCGUGGCGAAGGCGGCUCUCUGGAACGCAACUGACGCUGAGACGCGAAAGCGUGGGGAGCAAACAGG